CCUACGGGAGGCAGCAGUAGGGAAUCUUCCGCAAUGGACGAAAGUCUGACGGAGCAACGCCGCGUGAGUGAUGAAGGUUUUCGGAUCGUAAAACUCUGUUGUUAGGGAAGAACAAGUAUCGUUCGAAUAGGGCGGUACCUUGACGGUACCUAACCAGAAAGCCACGGCUAACUACGUGCCAGCAGCCGCGGUAAU
rnacentral:rRNA from 1 species